rnacentral:rRNA from 1 species
GUGGGGAAUUUUGGACAAUGGGCGAAAGCCUGAUCCAGCCAUGCCGCGUGCAGGAUGAAGGCCUUCGGGUUGUAAACUGCUUUUGUACGGAACGAAAAGACUCCUUCUAAUAAAGGGGGUCCAUGACGGUACCGUAAGAAUAAGCACCGGCUAACUACGUGCCAGCAGCCGCGGUAAUACGUAGGGUGCAAACGUUAAUCGGAAUUACUGGGCGUAAAGCGUGCGCAGGCGGUUAUAUAAGACAGAUGUGAAAUCCCCGGGCUCAACCUGGGAACUGCAUUUGUGACUGUAUAGCUAGAGUACGGUAGAGGGGGAUGGAAUUCCGCGUGUAGCAGUGAAAUGCGUAGAUAUGCGGAGGAACACCGAUGGCGAAGGCAAUCCCCUGGACCUGUACUGACGCUCAUGCACGAAAGCGUGGGGAGCAAACAGGAUUAGAUACCCUGGUAGUCC